rnacentral:rRNA from 1 species
CAGGCUUAACACAUGCAAGUCGAGGUGCAUCAGGAUGUAACAAUACAUUGCUGGCGACCGGCGCACGGGUGAGUAACACGUAUCCAACCUGCCUUUUACUCGGGGAUAGGCUUUCGAAAGAAAGAUUAAUACCCGAUGGCAUAAUAUUCCCGCAUGGGAUUAUUAUUAAAGAAUUUCGGUAAAAGAUGGGGAUGCGUUCCAUUAGGCAGUUGGCGGGGUAACGGCCCACCAAACCUUCGAUGGAUAGGGGUUCUGAGAGGAAGGUCCCCCACAUUGGAACUGAGACACGGUCCAAACUCCUACGGGAGGCAGCAGUGAGGAAUAUUGGUCAAUGGGCGCAGGCCUGAACCAGCCAAGUAGCGUGAAGGAUGACUGCCCUAUGGGUUGUAAACUUCUUUUAUAUGGGAAUAAAGUUUUCCACGUGUGGAAUUUUGUAUGUACCAUAUGAAUAAGGAUCGGCUAACUCCGUGCCAGCAGCCGCGGUAAUACGGAGGAUCCGAGCGUUAUCCGGAUUUAUUGGGUUUAAAGGGAGCGUAGGUGGACAGUUAACUCAGUUGUGAAAGUUUGCGGCUCAACCGUAAAAUUGCAGUUGAUACUGGCUGUCUUGAGUACAGUAGAGGUGGGCGGAAUUCGUGGUGUAGCGGUGAAAUGCUUAAAUAUCACGAAGAACUCCGAUUGCGAAGGCAGCUCACUGGACUGCAACUGACACUGAUGCUUGAAAGUGUGGGUAUCAAACAGGAUUAGAUACCCUGGUAGUCCACACAGUAAACGAUGAAUACUCGCUGUUUGCGAUAUACAGUAAGCGGCCAAGCGAAAGCAUUAAGUAUUCCACCUGGGGAGUACGCCGGCAACGGUGAAACUCAAAGGAAUUGACGGGGGCCCGCACAAGCGGAGGAACAUGUGGUUUAAUUCGAUGAUACGCGAGGAACCUUACCCGGGCUUAAAUUGCAUUUGAAUAUAUUGGAAACAGUAUAGCCGUAAGGCAAAUGUGAAGGUGCUGCAUGGUUGUCGUCAGCUCGUGCCGUGAGGUGUCGGCUUAAGUGCCAUAACGAGCGCAACCCUUAUCUUUAGUUACUAACAGGUCAUGCUGAGGACUCUAGAGAGACUGCCGUCGUAAGAUGUGAGGAAGGUGGGGAUGACGUCAAAUCAGCACGGCCCUUACGUCCGGGGCUACACACGUGUUACAAUGGGGGGUACAGAAGGCAGCUACCUGGUGACAGGAUGCUAAUCCCAAAAGCCUCUCUCAGUUCGGAUCGAAGUCUGCAACCCGACUCCACGAAGCUGGAUUCGCUAGUAAUCGCGCAUCAGCCACGGCGCGGUGAAUACGUUCCCGGGCCUUGUACACACCGCCCGUCAAGCCAUGGGAGCCGGGGGUACCAGAAGCGCGUAACCGCGAGGAGCGCCCUAGGGUAAGACUGGU